rnacentral:rRNA from 1 species
UACGGGGGGUGUAAGCGUUGUUCGGAAUUACUGGGCGUAAAGGGCUCGUAGGCGGCCAACUAAGUCAGACGUGAAAUCCCUCAGCUUAACUGGGGAACUGCGUCUGAUACUGGAUGGCUUGGAUUCGGGAGAGGAAUGCGGAAUUCCAGGUGUAGCGGUGAAAUGCGUAGAUAUCUGGAGGAACACCGGUGGCGAAGGCGGCAUCCUGGACCAACACUGACACUGAGGAGCGAAAGCCAGGGGAGCAAACGGG